rnacentral:rRNA from 1 species
UUAUGUGGCCAGAUUACCCCUGCACGUGCCCGAUCACGUCAGAUCUCGGAAGCCAAGCAGGGCUGCGACAGGAUUGUGCUUGGGUGGGUGGCCACCAGGGCUUGCCACGUGUUGCAGGCG